rnacentral:lncRNA from 1 species
UUGAAACAAAUGGAAAUGGCCAUCAGAGUAAAGUUGAAGAGGAAACAAAAGUAAAGAAACGCAAACAUAAACAUGUAGAAGCUCCAGAGGAACCUCCUAUCAAAACAAAGAAAAUGAAAACCGAAAACACCAAUGACAACAAAAAAAGUGUGGGAACUAAUAAAGGUAAAUUCAACUGGAACGGAACCAUCAAAGCUGUUCUGAGACAGGCUCCAGACAACGAAAUUUCAAUUAAAAGACUAAGAAAAAAGGUAUGGUAAAACAUUGGGAUUUUUAAUCUCCUUUUGUCUUGUGAAUUUCUUUCUGUAAUGCUGAAGUUUGUAAAAUCCUGGUUUGACGUUAUUUAGCAGAACAUCAAUUGACAGAAUGUCAACUGAAGGAUGGGUUCCUUAUUGCUUACUGAGUUACGGAAGAAAUUCAGUGCUAAUUCUGCAAAGAAAUAAUAGGAUCACAGAUUCUAU